UCUCUCUCUCUCUGCUUCAACCCAACAUCUUCAUCUUCUUCUUCUUCUUUUCUCUCUACUGAGGACCUCUUGCUAUCCCUAGCCGGGGGUUACUAUUACUUCACAUUGCUAAUUCGGUGUCACUACCGCCGUAUUCUUGAUUUUCCCGGCUGGGUUCAAGAACUCACGCUGCUCCCGCAGAUCUCGGAGACUCGAACUUCACUGGUUAAUUGCCUAUUCAAGAAUGGACAUGUUUAGAAAAUGUUCAGAAUCUGGAUGCAAGGGAAUCAGUUCUCGAGAACAAUGGUUGGGACCCCUGCCACGCCAGCAUCUAAGAUACAGAGAACCCCUUCCUCAACUCCAGGCGGCUCAAAGUUUCAGCAGGAAAAGAUUUUAGGUACCAUUCGGAUAAGGCCUUUGAACCGGAGGGAGCAAGCGUUGUAUUAUCUUAUCGCUUGGGAUUGCCCGGAUGGUCGCACCAUUGUCUUCAAGAAUCCGAAUCAUGAGCGGCCAGCAACACCAUACACUUUUGGGUUUACGAAGAAGGGGCUAAGAAUGUCGCUCUGUCUGCUCUUAUGGGAAUUAAUGGUAACACCAAAUUUGGCUAGGAAUCUGAAAUUCUUGUAAUAAGUGUUUUCUUCGUGUAAUUUUCUGAAGGAAUUCUGAUCAUUGCAUAUUUAACUUCUUGCAGCAACAAUCUUUGCAUAUGGGCAAACAACUAGUGGUAAGGCAUUUACCAUGAGUGGAAUCACUGAAAGUGCUGUCAAGGACAUCUAUGAGCACAUAAAAAUACUCAAGCGAGAGAGUUCAUCCUGAAAAGAUCAGCCUUGGAGAUCUACAAUGACACUAUUGACCUUUUGAAUCGUGAAUCUGAUUCCCUUAGGCUUUUGGAUGAUCCUGAGAAAGGAACCAUUGUUGAAAAGCUAGUUGAAGAAAUUGUUAAGGAUAGCCAACAUUUAAGGCACUUGAUUGGAAUUUGUGAAGCUCAAAGGCAGGUAGGUGAAACUGAUUUGAAUGAUAAAAGCUCAAGAUCACAUCAGAUAAUAUGGCUGGGGGUAAUGCUCGAACAGCAAGUAUAUGUGACAUGAGUCCAGCUUUAAGUCAUGUGGAGCAAACAAUGAAUGCCCUUUCAUUUGCAUCUAGUGCAAAGGAGGUUACCAACAAUGCUCAAGUAAACAUGGUUGUUUCAGAUAAGAAUUUAGUUAAGCAUUUGCAGAAAGAAGUGGCCAGACUUGAAGCUGAGCUACGAAAUCCAGAGUCUUAUCCUUCGUGUUUAAAUACAUUACUAAUGGAAAAGGAUUUGAAAAUUGAGCAGAUGGAAAGGGAAAUGAAAGAGCUGAAGAGGCAGAGAGACAACGCACAAUCCCAGCCUGAACUAGAAAGGAAAGCAAACAAGGAGCUGAAGCUAACACAGCAACUGUUGUUUCCUUUAUUUUUAAACAAUUCCAAUGCUCAUCUCUAUCUACGACAUCUUCAGCAUUUAUAUCUCAUAUCUUGAUCCGGUGUUGGAGCUAGAGGCUAAUGAGGCUGCAACUGUUGAGGCAGAUGCUGAUCAGUCUCCUAUGCCCUGGCACUUGCUUUUCGAGGAUCAAAGAAAGCAAAUUGUGAUGCUAUGGCAUUUAUGCCAUGUUUCACUUAGAGAACACAAUUUUAUCUGUUAUUUAAAGGAGACCCUUCUGAUCAGAUAUAUAUGGAAGUUGAACUUAGACAGUUGUCGUGGUUGGAGCAGCAUUAGUCGGAGCUUGGCAAUGCGAUCCCGGCACUGUUGGGUGAUGAACCUGCGGGCUUGGUGUCAUCAAGGUAUCUCAAUUGUUAAGUUUUAAGAUCCAUAUUGCUUUCUUAUUGCUCUUUGAGAAUUGAUCCAGGCCAGCUACAGCCUAUAUGUGCCCAAUAAAGUCAUAUUAACAAUAGGGGCAAAGUACACUUUAGUAUUCUGUACUUUGGCCUUUUUAGUAUUGAGACAUAUACUUUGUUUUGUUUCAAUUAAAAACAGAAACUUUGACUUCAUUUGCACCAUAAGGACAAAUUGCUAACGGUGUUAAGUGACGCUGACAUGACACAUUGAUGUGGCACUCAUGUAUGACAUAGCACCCAUGCAUGAUAUAGUAAUAAUGUGACAUGCCACGUCAGUGCCAUAUCAUACAUGGGUGACACAUCAGUAUGCCAUAUCAGUAUGCCACGUCAUCAAAUUUUAUGCCAUAAUUCAUUUCGUUACCUAAAUGUAAAAGGGUGAAAUAUGUCUUGAAUUGUAAAAAAAAAAAAAAAAAGAUCAAGAUUUUUUAAAUAAAAGGAGGUAAAUUGACUUCCCAUUUGCAGAAAUGCAUCUGUCACUAAAAAAGAAGGUCCAAUAAUUAAAUCUACAAGGGGUCAAUUUAGAUAAAUACACACACAUACAUAAGAGUAAUUUAAAAUAUUUUAAAAAAAAGAGAGAGAGGUGUCAAUUGACCCCCCAAUUUGUGGUAGUACAUUCAACACUGGCAGCAACUAAUACAUGAGAUCUAGAACCAAAAGAUUGUUGAUUAAAGCUAUUACAUUAUAUCCUGUUCACUUCAGUACUCAUCCAAAUAUCCAAUAGUUGUUUUCAAGAGAAACUUGGAUUCACACAAGAAGAGAUAAAGCACAAAACACACGGCAGAAAGUUGAGCAUGUUCAAUGCAAUUAGACAACAACCAAAAGAGGCAUAUGUGUUUGACCAUGGAACCUGUAACAACUAACAACUGCAAGGUGCAAUCCAGACAAUUAAAGGAUGCAGAAGCUUAAAUGGCAAAGAUGUGCAAUCACAGGGGAAAGGAAAAGAAUAUAUAACCUGUGCCUCUCCAUUGGAACUCGAUGGUGACUGGGAAGACGUUGAAUCUGAGUUUCCACUCAUCUGUGGUGGACUUUUUUUAAGGAAGUCUGACUGUACCCAUAAAGGGCAAUUGACAGACCCUGUCACUGGAUUUACAGGGGCAACAGACAUAUCUAGGUUCCCUGUACAGUCUUGCGAACCAUCAUAAACAUUAUUCAAGUCAAUGUUAUUGUACUUGAUUCUCCCAACUACAUCUGCUGGUUCAUUUACUUUGGUUGGAAGGUUGCAUCUUAACGGGAACAAUGCUGUGGACUGCAAACAUGAUAUGGCUUGUGGAGUUUCACCCUGGAAAUCAUUGUUGAAUAUUCUUUUCUGCGCCAAAUCAGAAACAGGUACAGUCCCACAUUGGCCCAAAGGCCUCAUAAUGUCCUGAGAAUUAGUGCAAUCAUCUUUCUUAGAAGCUGAAGUAGAAGGCCUGGUAGAUUCAGAACCAUUUGUAAUCAUAUCUGGCACUUUUUCAAGAGCCCCAAAAGUAGUUCCAGCAUUUACCCGACCUUGAGAUUCUUGCAACAAUCCAGAUAUGCUCCUUCCACUAGUUGUACCAGCAAUAUUGGCCAGGUUCCUUAAUAGAUGAGAAAGAAGAUCCUGAUCCUUUGUUUGAUCAGAGCUAUUUGAAUGCAAAUUGGAAAGAAUUCUAAGUAGACUUAUCAAUAGGUAGCCACUACCGUUUUCAUCAUUCAAGGAACCUCCACUGACUACAUUUUCAGGAUGUGUCUUCCUCCUCCGCUUGUUAUGGCCAGCCAAACGCCGACGACAGCUUCUUUUCCCUUCAUCAAACUCUUGAAGAACAUGAAACCUGCUACAUUGCUGGCAAAACCUCUGCAUAACAUUUCCCACCAGUGCUUUAUUGGCCUUGGAAUGCAUAUCGCAAACCUUAUGCCGUCGGUGAUAAUCCUUGGCAUUGGUGAGGUCAGCCCUACAAUCCUCCACCUGACAGACCGCACGAUUUGAAGCAGUCCCAGUAAAUUUUGUCUUCUUUCCACUUUUGGCAUCUUCAUCCAGGAUUGGAUAGGCUUGACCACCAAGCUUCAAAUUAAGGGACCCAGCAGCCUCGUCAGUAAAAUCUUCAUCUUCAACGAGAACGACCCUCCUUCUCUUCUCCAAUUCUCUCUUUUCUUUCUCUAAUCCCAAGUCAUUAUUAUCAGAACAAGAAGCUGAACCGUUGAAUAACCCUCCAUUAGCUGGAAUUUCAGGUCCAACAGGGAACAACUGCCUACUCCUACAAUCUGAUGGUACGGAAUUCAAUGGAGUAGCUGAAAAGAGAUCGCCGUCCCAUUUCCAGUCAUUUAAGUCCCAUUCCAAACUCUUUUUCCCAACAGCCUUCAAAUCCGACACCACUGGACCAUAGAAAUUAUGAGACUUUCCUCUUAUCUUAGCCUCCAUUUUUACCAAAAGCACAGAAACUUGAGAGGGGAAAAAAAACUCAACUAAAUAAAGAUACAAAAUUUAACAAACAGAAUUCCAAUGCGAAUUUUGUCGUAGAGAUCACGAAGUUGAACAUAAAUGGCCACUGAAAUUAAACCCCAAAAAGACACUCCUAGUCCUAGGCAUCCUCUGUAUGCCCCCAGAAAUGAAAAGAUAGUAAAGCAAGACAUCCAUGUAUCCAAACAAGAGUUGGCCUGAAUUACCCAUUUAUCACGUCAAAAUAAGAGAAACACAUCUUCCGAUUCCAUCAGUCGAUAACAAAACAUCAUGAAACUUGAAACCAAGACAACGACUUUUAACGAAUGAGCGAACAAACGAAAGAAAGGAGCAGAUGGGACGUUGGGCAGAGGAGGAUUGGUGAGAGAUUGCGUAUGUGAAUUGUGAGAGAGGGAGGGAGAACCAUAUAGGGAGAGGAAAUUAGGAAAGAGAGAGUAAAUUAGGGUUUUCAGUACACUUAUUUUGC
rnacentral:misc_RNA from 1 species